AAAUUAAAGCAAAAAAAAAAACAAAGCUUCACCCUUUACACUUCCACGAUUCUUUUAAUGCUUCCAAAACUCUACCAUCAAUUGUAACUCAUGAUUUAACUCUUCAAAUUUUUUGUACCAUAUAUUUAUUGUUCAGAUCUACUCUUCAUCUCGACAUAAAUCUCUGCAAAAUUACCUCUUACUCAAAGUUCCAAUAGAUAGACAGCAGCCGCUAGGGCUAGGAAUCACGAGUUUUCUUUUGUAAUGGAGAUUCGGUUGCGAAAUUGAGAAAUCUCUCAACGAAGCUGCACAAUCUGAUGACUGAGGAACUUUGAGAUGGUGCGUCUAGACGACGAUGAUGGAGCAAAUCAAAACUUACAUAGUGAAAACAGAUUGGCUUUCACAGUAAGCAUGUGGAUUUCAGACAUGUGGUAGAAUUUUAGCUGUGGGAAAUUCAAUCGAAAAGAUCAGAUAUCUAGAAAGUCCCCAAAGGCAGCUGUUGUCGCAGAUUGUGAACUCAUCUCUUAUAAAAGCAUACUUCCAACACAGUCCAUGUCCUUUUGUACCUUUGGUAUCUUCUACCAUAAUUCUUUGGUGAUUGCGCUUUUUGAUUCAAGAAGGAACAGAGACAACGCUUCUCCAAGGUUCCAUCUUUGUUCAUCGCCUUAACACUUUUAAACAUAUGCUGAAAGAGGGAGCUGUUUACAAGCUCAGUAGGUUUGAUGUUACCUGAGGAAGGUAACUGAACUGAUACCAUUUUAUCUUUGCAUAAUCAGUGAAUAAAACUGGUGUCUCAGACACUACUCUUAUUGACUUUCAAGAGGUAAGAAACUAUCUUUUACAUUGCUUCUUCCAUGUUCUUACUUACCCUCAAAAUGAUUUUAGGGAAACUCUAUCCUCUAGCUUCAUCAAGACCGUUUGAAUCUACUGCUUGCUUUAGCCAAAGAAUAUGAUGUUAACAGAGAGCAAGUCUAGAAACUCAUUAGGCAAUAUCUUGGGGUUGAGGAUGCACCCAGUAAAUCUUUUGUUUUUGUAUUUUGAUUGAUAUUCUUCAAUAGAUUUCUCUCGAUGAACGAGCGCUCUUUAGGUGACGAUGGAGAGGCUCAUUCUACAUAAUGAGGCUUUAUCUAUUGUUUACUAUCGCAUUGAGUGGAAUAUGAGACAUGCUCUGAAGCCUGCAUAUGAAACUCUCUUUGAGAUGUUAAAAUACUCAUCCUCGAGGGUUGCAUUUUUUUGUCCAUCCUAUGUGUUCAUCUUCAUUAGUCAUACUACAGAUGUGGCUUAGUCCUGCUUCUUUAAAGCUUGAUCAAAUCACUUGGGAUGAUCAUGAUUCCUUGCUUGAGAAAACUGUUGCUAAUGAGAUAUGUGAAAGUAUUUUCUAUUACAAUAAUAUCCAAAACAACUUCGGUUUUUUAUCUAACAUUCUCUUAUUUAUAAAGCGGUGCAACAAAUCAGCAACAUCUUCGAUCUUAAAAAAGAUUUGGAAUAGGGCCUUUAUGCUUUGGUUAUUAUCAUCCAUCUAUUCAUGGGCGGGGACAACAACCUAGGUGACGAUACGCCAGGAGCCUCAUGUGUGUCCUGCAUCUGCU